AUAAAUAAAUAAAUAAAUAAAUAAAUAAAUAAAUAAAUAAGAUUUUAUUUUGGGCAGCCCGGGUAGCUCAGCGGUUUAGCACCACUUUCAGCCCAGAGCGUGAUCCUGGAGUCCCAGGAUCAAGUCUCACGUCAGGCUCCUUGCAUGGAGCCUGCUUCUCCCUCUGCCUAUGUCUCUGCCUCUCUCUCUCUGUGUCUCUCAUGAAUAAAUAAAUAAAAUCUUAAAAAAAAAAAAGAUUUUAUUUAAAAAACUCCACCUAGGAGUCUAAAUAAAUAAAUAAAAUCUUUAUUUUUAAUUUUUUAAAAGAUUUUAUUUAUUUAUUCAUGAGAGACACACAGAGAGAGGCAUAGACACACAGGCAGAGGGAGAAGCAGGCUCCAUGCAGGGAGCCAGACGAGGGACAGCUGAGCCGAAGGUAGAUGCUCAACCACAGAGCCACCCAGGCGUCCCCCGCCCCCAAUUUUUUUUUUUUGAGCCGAGGACUGUUGGUUAGGAGAGCGACUGAAAGCCAGAGCAUCUCAAAAGGUGGUACAGCAAGUGCAAAGACUAAUCAGGCAAGAAACGCUGGACUCGAAACCGGAGUUUGGAUUUGGAGCCUCUGGUCCGGGCUAUUCCUGCCUUUCUGGAGACGAUCAUCUAGUGUGGGAGCCAAUAAAUCAAUAAUGCCAAUAAAUCAAUGCAUAAAUUUAUUUGAUAAGUGAACAAUGCAAUAGAAGCCCCAAGGUGCUGCCCGUGAUCAGGAGACGUCUACUUCUGGAAUAGAAGGCUCUGCAGGGGUUCCGGGGAGGAAAAGAGCUGGUGGAAGAAAUGGAUUUGGAGCCCAUCCUUGGAGAACGCUCCAGUUGGGAUCAGCAGGGAAGGAGAAUAUAUACCAGCAGAAGGAAUGAGGAGGACGGUGGGAUUUCUACUUCUAGUAAUGAUGGGCUGUUAUUUGGACCAACGUUCCCACUGAAAGCAACUGCAAAUGCUUUACAAAAGACUUUUUAAAUCUCCUUAACAAUAUCACAAAUAGGGCAGCCCCGGUGGCGCAGCGGUUUAGCGCCGCCUGCAGCCCGGGCGUGAUCUUGGAGACCCUGGAUCGAGUCCCAGGUCAGGCUUUUUGCAUGGAGCCUGCUUCUCCCCCUGCCUGUGUUUUUGCCCCCCCCCCCGUCUCUAUGAAUAAAUAAAUAAAAUCUUUUAAAAAAACA
rnacentral:lncRNA from 12 species